rnacentral:snRNA from 1 species
GUGCUCGCUUCAGCAUCACAUAUACUAAAAUUGGAAUGAUACAGAGAUUAGCAUGGCCCCUACACAAGGAUGACAUGCAAAUUCGUGAAGCUUUCCAUAUUUUU